CCAGACAGAAAGUAGCUGCCCCGCAAGACGCGGGGAGGAAAGUCCGGGCUCCAGGGGUAAGCGUAGCGGGUAACUCCCGUCCAGAUUGCCUUUUUAGGAAGGCGGUCUGAGGAUUCUUGUUACCUCCGGGUAAACAGGCCUGCUAAUUUUUUUUGGCAGGAGAGCUACAGAGACGAGUCCCGCACCUUUUUUUGAAUCAAGUAAUCCUAUUUUUAUAAGCAACCUGGUAUAAUUUAAUAUUUAAAAAAGGUGCGGGGGUGAAACGCAGCAAUCUCUACGCGGAGCAAGGCCAAAUAGGCCCGUACAACUAAUCUUCAAUUGGUUAGUCUAAGGAAUAUCCCCUUUUAGUCCUUUGUUUAUUCUACUGAAGGAUGUAUGGGCGGGUGGGCUGCUUGAACCCGAAGGUAACUUCGGGUCUUAGAGAAAUGGCUACUGAAGGCGCGAAUUCGCCAUAAGACAAAACCCGGCUUAUUCUGUCUGGCGUA
rnacentral:RNase_P_RNA from 1 species